AAUCAGGUAGGACUACCCGCUGAACUUAAGCAUAUCAAUAAGCGGAGGAAAAGAAACUAACAAGGAUUCCCCUAGUAACGGCGAGUGAAGCGGGAUGAGCUCAAAUUUAAAAUCUGGCGGCCUCAGGUCGUCCGAGUUGUAGUCUAGAGAAUCGUUUUCCGCGUUGGCCUGUGUACAAGUCCCUUGGAACAGGGCGUCAUAGAGGGUGAGAAUCCCGUCCUUGACACAGACUACCAAUGCUUUGUGAUGCGAUCUCGAAGAGUCGAGUUGUUUGGGAAUGCAGCUCAAAAUGGGUGGUAAAUUCCAUCUAAAGCUAAAUAUUGGCGAGAGACCGAUAGCGAACAAGUACCGUGAGGGAAAGAUGAAAAGCACUUUGGAAAGAGAGUUAAACAGUACGUGAAAUUGUUAAAAGGGAAACGAUUGAAGUCAGUCAUGCUUUCCGAGACUCAGCCGAUUCUGUCGGUGUACUUCUCGGUUGGCAGGCCAGCAUCAGUUUCGAUCUGUGGAAAAGGUUGGAGGGAACGUGGCAUCCUCGGAUGUGUUAUAGCCCUUCUUCGAAUACAUAGAGCGGGACUGAGGACGCAGCGCGCCUUUUAUUAGGUUGGCCCUCGGGUACAUACGCGCUUAGGA
rnacentral:rRNA from 1 species